rnacentral:SRP_RNA from 1 species
GCCAGGUGUGGUGGCGCAUGCCUGUAAUCUCAGCUACCCAGGAGGCUGAGGCAGGAGAAUCGCUGGAACCCGGGAGGCAGAGGCUGCAGUGAGCUGAGAUAGCACCACUGCACUCCAGCCUGGGCAACAGAGCGAGACUCUGUCUUUU